rnacentral:rRNA from 1 species
GUGGGGAAUAUUGGGCAAUGGGCGCAAGCCUGACCCAGCAACGCCGCGUGAAGGAAGAAGGCUUUCGGGUUGUAAACUUCUUUUAAGAGGGAAGAGCAGAAGACGGUACCUCUUGAAUAAGCUCCGGCUAACUACGUGCCAGCAGCCGCGGUAAUACGUAGGGAGCGAGCGUUGUCCGGAUUUACUGGGUGUAAAGGGCGUGCAGCCGGGAAGACAAGUCAGAUGUGAAAUCCCGCGGCUCAACCGCGGAACUGCAUUUGAAACUGUAUUUCUUGAGUACUGGAGAGGCAGACGGAAUUCCUAGUGUAGCGGUGAAAUGCGUAGAUAUUAGGAGGAACACCAGUGGCGAAGGCGGUCUGCUGGACAGCAACUGACGGUGAGGCGCGAAAGCGUGGGGAGCAAACAGG